UCUUCACUCCGUUAUGAUGCCCGUGACCUCCCUUGGCCUGAAGUCUCAUGACACCAUUUGGUAAGCUCAUCUCGUCGUAGAUCAGAAGGAUAUGUCGCAGGGGGAUUUUGUAAUAUGAAGCAACCGGUCCCACCGACUCUCCACUGAAGUUCAUGUAAGCCUGAGGUUUCGCCAGCAGAAUGGGCACUUCCCCAAUAGAACCUAUCCCGAUCAACGCCUUUGACUGAAUCG
rnacentral:misc_RNA from 1 species